GCGCUUGCUUUGACAGCACAUAUAUUAAAAUUGGAACAAUACAGAGAGGUUUAGCAUGAUGACUGUGCAAGGAUGACACCAAUUCAUGAAGCGUUCCAUAUGGUA